GACGAACGCUGGCGGCGUGCUUAACACAUGCAAGUCGAACGGAGAUUAUUAAUGAAGCUUGCGAUUUAAUAAUCUUAGUGGCGGACGGGUGAGUAACGCGUGAGCAACCUGCCUUUCAGUGGGGGACAACAUUUGGAAACGAAUGCUAAUACCGCAUAAGACCACAGUGUCGCAUGGCACAGGGGGUCAAAGGAUUUACUCCGCUAGAAAGAUGGGCUCGGCGUCCGAUUAGCUAGUUGGUGAGGUAAUAG
rnacentral:rRNA from 1 species